rnacentral:rRNA from 1 species
ACGUAGGGUGCGAGCGUUAAUCGGAAUUACUGGGCGUAAAGCGUACGCAGGCGGCUAUGCAAGACAGGUGUGAAAUCCCCGGGCUUAACCUGGGAACUGCAUUUGUGACUGCAUAGCUAGAGUUUGUCAGAGGGGGGUGGAAUUCCACGUGUAGCAGUGAAAUGCGUAGAGAUGUGGAGGAACACCGAUGGCGAAGGCAGCCCCCUGGGACCUGACUGACGCUCAUGUACGAAAGCGUGGGGAGCAAACAGGA